UUUUUUAAGGCUUGUUGGUGUGGGCAGGAAUAUGGGGGGCUGAGCUUCUUUUGUGACCCACUUCAUAAAGCAGUCAGGCCCCUUCCAUAAACUGGCAUUAUUAUUCUGUGUUUCAGUUAAAUUUAACAAGCUUCCCAAAUAUUUAAGUAAUUACACGAUUUCAGCAACAACAAAAAAUCAUGCAUCAGAAUUCGCAGUGCUUUUUUUCAGGAAAUGCAAUCCAUAGUUAUUUUUUUGAUCUAAACAGUCUUGAUACUGGGUCACAAAUCUGUGCAGACAGAAAAUAUACGAGCUGGGUUUGAAGUGUGGUGUAUAGACUAGAGUGCUAUCAAAUACACCUGCCUUCAAUGAACCCAGCCCAAUCACAGCCACUGGCUCACAGCAGUUGUGAAACAAACCCACUCACACAUAAGUGGCCAUUUCCCACAGCAAAUGUGGAGGUGAGUUAAUAUGCAGGUGAUACCAGUCUAUCAUCUUACACAGCUGAUUACAAAUCUUGCAGCCAACAUUUUGAUAUCACUGGUAUAAAGAAAUGGAAAACGCUGACCCCAAUACUACAAACUGGUCAUUAUCUGUGAGAUUAUACUUCUCUCCUUGCUGUCCUUUCUUGACAUAGAAAUCCUACACAUCCAGAGAUUAAUAUCCAGAAAAGUUUAAGAUGGAAAGAUUUAAUAAAGCCCAUUUACAUGUCUACUUUCUAAGUUCAUUUUCUGGGUUGGUUUUUUUGGGGGGGUGGUUUUUCCCAUCAAACCUGAAAAAAAUCUGCUUGAUUGAAACAACAAUGUCUUUCCCCACGCCCUCUGAAUGCCUCAAAAGCUACUCCUUAAGUUCAAUUUAGCACACAGAGCUUUCUAGAUCUUGAUCGCAAGCAGAUAUGUUGAAGCCAGUUUUAAUACACGGGGCACCAAAGCUGGUGGACUGGAAGACGCUUAUGAUGUUCAGCUUUUCCUUUUAUCCUGCUUAUUGCUACCUGUAUCACAUCUUUCCAGAGGAGAACCACGGGAACUCAGGAGACAGGAACCCAAGUACUACAAUGCUGCAGCUACUGCCAGAACCAAGGAAGAGCUCCCAUCUCACAGCCCUGAGCAGCAAACCAUGGACGGCCAGUUUCACUACCAGGACUCAGCCAAUGUACACAAAGGAAAGCCAGGCCAAGCUGUCUGCCAGUGGCUCAUCAAACUUGUGGAGUUCUGGCAGCAGCCUUGAAGGUAAUCUCCCCCUAGCAUACCUCACUAUAUGGGCUGAGAGAGCUCUUGAUUAGGAGAUGAGGAACAACAUCUUUGAGACUGCUGAACUGUUUCCAGCUCUGUGGAAAGGAAGGAGGAUGGCAACAAAAAUGCCACUUUGCAUGGUCUACAGAGGACAAGCACUACAUAUGAGCCCUAGCUUAGCCCUAACCCUAACUUAAAAGUUCUUGUCCAUCACUUUAAUCUGAAAUGUUACUAUGACCCACAGGAGGUGAAAGGCCUGACCAACAAACAGGUGAAUUCGUGCUCAAUUUUGGGUCAGUCUGACUCAUUGAGUGAAACUGUUUCCAGCUCUGUCACAGAGGAGAAACAAGUUUUUACUGUCCCAAGUGUGGUGGCCUGAAGGAGGAGAAAAGGAAAGGGUAACUAAAUGGUACUGAUGCCACCUGGGCGUGCAGUUACACCUCAGGAAAUGUUACAUUAGCCAGUGCAAAGGUUUUCCAGUUACAAAGGCACACAGACUCUGACAAGGCAGACGUGUGGCAAAUUAAUUUUGAAAAGUUUAUUAAAUUAACUGAGAAUAUAGAACUGUGGGGAAAUAUAAAAAAAUAAAACACAGCAAAUUAAAUGGCGGGACUUGCAAUACCACCAGACCUUUCAAUUUAAACUCUUAAUUACCACACAUUGCUUAAAAGAACAAGAUUUGUGGCCACUAGCUGCUUUCUUUGAAAUAGCAGCUCAAAACUGUUUAUUAAUUUGGCCACUUUGGCACUCCUUCCUCUAGGUUGCUUCCCCAAGGGCUACCACCAGUUACUCACCCGUGACUCGCACAACCACCUAAAUGGUUGUCUAAACAUCUCCCAGUGUUUACACACGCAUGGAUAAGAGGGAACCUCACCAAACAUCAGAGCUAUUGUAAAUGAUGCCAGCUAGUAACAAUGACUGGACUGAGUGUGUCAGAUUUUCUGUGGAUUUUAUCUGACAGCCAUUUUAAUGUUCUGUUGAUGUUGACUUAACAGAGACUGUCUUUAACUAUUUUAUCACCACAGUAAAAUGAAGUACUGCCUUUCUUUUUUUUUUUUUUGGUGCAUGCGUGGGUUGUUUUAUUUUUUUUAUUUUUUAUUUUUUAAGUCGCCACUUAGGUGAGCUAUUAGAUGGAAAUGUUGCAUGUUUUUGAUGUGCAGUGUCCAGAGGGGAGGCUGCAGAUAAACCUCAUCAAAAAUGGUCUUGGUGGUUGUAAAGAAGGGGAAAUGGGAAGAAAAGGCAGAGGUAGGCCAAAUUACACCAGAACCAGACUGAAACUCAGUAGCCACAAGUUUAAAAUCCACAUGUGAAUUUUUGUUUCAAAUUAUCAAUGUGCAGAGGUGGUCAGGAGAGCAGUCCAACAGUGAGUGUCCACAGCCAUCUGUAAAACAUGAUGGAGACUCUAUCAAGUUUGGGGCUGAAUUUCAGUCAGUGGUGUUGGAGUUAAGCUCAAACACACUGUCAAUGCAGUAGAAGCAGUCAUGGAUUGGUAUUCAGAGUCCUGACCUCAAUGUUACUGAAGCAGCGUGGGAUCAUCUUGACAGUGAACAGAACAAAGAGCAGUCAACAUCCAAAGAGCUUUGAAUGUCCUUCAGGAAGCCUGGAGAACUAUUCCUGAAGGCUACUUCCAAGGCGCCUUGGAGAGGACGUUGGGUCUUGCUUGAUUACUGAAUGAUGAAAUAUAAUAUUUGAUUUUCAUAGAUUUCCAGUAGACUGUAUUUUUAUUCCAUGAACAUUAAGUUUUAGGGUCACCUGAAACUGGUUUGUCAGGCCACAUCACACAUGGCACUGAUCAUGGAUGGUAUCGAAACUUGACUGUGCGCUGAGGUGGCAACCCCUAACCCUACGCAAGUAAAUUAAAAUAAAUGUGUUGGGAAAAAUGUACUUCUAAAAGUAGUUUUAUUGCACCGUGUUCAUGUACUCAUGAGCUGCUGUAACAUGAAACAAAUGGCUGAAUUGCCAUCUCAGCAUGCAGUCAAAUUAGGUAAAGUCUUGCUAAUGACUUACUAAUUUUAUUCAGGUGUGUUGCAGCAGGGACACAUGGAAAGGUUUCAGGACAUCGGCCCUUGAGGAUGGGAGUUUGACACCUGUGAUUUAUAGCGUUUAUACUGGGGGGGUAGAACUCAGCCGGGGGAGUGCAGGUGCCCACAUGUUGUAUUUCUAUACUUCAGAAUCUAGCUAGUGCUACAGAAGAUAAGGAAACAUGAAGGGAGUGACAUUUUAAGUGUCAGAUAAUUUCAUAUUCAAAGGCUGUGCCUUUGCUGAUGUCUGAGCUGACAAUGCUUUUGUGUCAUUUGUCGCACAGUGUGUUGCAAGCUGAGGUCCAGCUGUUAUGUUUCAGAUGUAAAGGUAGAUUUGAAGUGCUCAGUGAUGCUUGAUAAACUGCAAACUUAAAGCUUAAAUAUGAUGUCAUAGUUUUAAUCACAUAUUGGGUCUACGUUCAUGAUUUGCACUUCAGUUCCAUCCUGCAGGACAUUGGCUGGAGCUGAAGUGAAGGCUGAUGGGAUGAUGCCCUGAUCCAGUUCAUGUGUGAUGAGAAACAGUUCAAGUGAACUAAUGAGGACGUUGCUGUGACUUUGACUACACACACUUGUUAUAUAAUGUUGGACCAGUAGGUGUCACUGUUGUCCAUGUACAUGGAGUGUUUCUGGCGUCUGGAGAAAAUCAGAAAAAUUAAUGAACUUUUUAACACUUUAUUAAAAAAUAUUAUAGUAUUUCAUUCUGCCAAAGUCCUUUUUUUUUUUUUUUUUUUUUUUUUUUUUUGUUUUGGAAGAAAAAUCAUUGGUGAUUCAUGCAUGUCUGACUUCAAAACAGACGUGCAUGUGUGAUUGUGUCAUCUGGAGCAGGGAUGGCUCAGUAGGUAGAGUGGUUGCCCCAUGAUUCACUGGGUGAAUGGG